GUGCCUAACACAUGCAAGUCGAACGAGAAAGUGGAGCAAUCCAUGAGUAAAGUGGCGACCGGGUGAGUAACACGUGACUAACCUACCUUCGAGUGGGGGAUAACCUAGGGAAACCUGGGCUAAUACCGCAUAACAUCUUUGGAGUGGAAAUUCUGGAGAUCAAAGGGGCAAUUCGCUUGAAGAGGGGGUCGCGGCUGAUUAGCUAGUUGGCGGGGUAAUGGCCCACCAAGGCGAAGAUCGGUAGCCGGCCUGAGAGGGCGCACGGCCACACUGGAACUGAAACACGGUCCAG
rnacentral:rRNA from 1 species